rnacentral:lncRNA from 1 species
CUAUCACCUCAAUGAUCAUCAAGUUCAUGCUAGCCUGGACUGGUUGGGUCCCUCUUCCACCUUCACCACUAUAUGUAUGUCCCCUUAGAAGCCACAUGAUUGGUCCGAAAGGGUGCCUUGUCCAGACCAAGCAUGGCCAUUUCUGGCUAGUCUCAAGUAGCACUGUCCCUGGUUAGAAUCUUUAAACAAGCUCUCACGGUCCACUUG